GAUGAACGCUGGCGGCGUGCCUAAUACAUGCAAGUCGAGCGAACAGACGAGGAGCUUGCUCCUCUGACGUUAGCGGCGGACGGGUGAGUAACACGUGGAUAACCUACCUAUAAGACUGGGAUAACUUCGGGAAACCGGAGCUAAUACCGGAUAAUAUAUUGAACCGCAUGGUUCAAUAGUGAAAGACGGUUUUGCUGUCACUUAUAGAUGGAUCCGCGCCGCAUUAGCUAGUUGGUAAGGUAACGGCUUACCAAGGCGACGAUGCGUAACCGACCUGAGAGGGUGGUGGCCCACACUGGAACUGAGACACGGUCCAGACUCCUACGGGAGGCAGCAGUAGGGAAUCUUCCGCAAUGGGCGAAAGCCUGACGGAGCAACGCCGCGUGAGUGAUGAAGGUCUUCGGAUCGUAAAACUCUGUUAUUAGGGAAGAACAAAUGUGUAAGUAACUAUGCACGUCUUGACGGUACCUAAUCAGAAAGCCACGGCUAACUACGUG
rnacentral:rRNA from 1 species